AACGAUGAGAAAAUUAAGUGGAACUAUCCUUUUGGUCGCGAAAAGAGAGGCAAAAAACGCCAUGUGAGUGAAUUUCGGGAACAACAAUCAGCUGGCGUUUGGUCUUUCUGUGUCUUGUUUGCUAAUGCCCGGCCACUUCCAGAGCUGUGUUCUGUGACUUUGUGCCUGACAAAAAAGCCGUGGGGUUGAAAGGCAUGGGGAAGUACCAGUGGGGGUGCUCUGGCCUGGGAUCUCCUGCCCAGAGAAGAUAAUACCAGCGGAGGAGCCUGCUGGUCCCAUGGAAUCCCGCUGGAAUCCCCACUGCUCUGUGCUUUCAGUGCACACUUCCUGAAGAGGGACAAAAGCGACUCUUUCAGCAGUCUAUAACCCUCGCUGGGUCAAAGAGAAAUCUAAAGACUAUUAGGACCAGUGAGAACAAAAGGAUCGUGGGGGGAGUCGUGAAAAUGAAAGCCCACCAUUCUCCCGCAGUCGAACGGGAUGCAGAGAUCGAAAGUUUCGUUUCUGAUUUUGCCGUUUUCAUGGAGGUCGAGGGCUUGAAUGGGAGUCUGCUGGACGUCUACCUCGGCGCAGGGGACUUUUAUUCUCCGCAGCAUUUCAGGCUGCAGUUUGACUCGAUCUCAAAAGAGUGGCAUGCUGGAGACCUCGACCGGAGGUGGCGAAUGGUGCAGGCACGCGAGCUCGUUUUCUGGCAGGGGGUUACUAAUCAACACCCCAAGUUGACUGUCGGACCCGACUUCAAGAGGCCAGAAAGUCUCUUCCCCUCCCCACUGAUGUUUUGAGUUGGUAUGGAGAGACUUUUUGUGCUGCUGUCUGUGAUGUCGAGCUCAGGCCGUCAUUAGAAACAUGUCUAUGUUAGAGACACACUCUGUUUGAAGAUAGAAGAGCAUGUUAUUUGCAAAAUCAUUGUCAGUCAAGUUAUAUUUUUAAAAAAGCAUUAUCGAUAUACUGACAUAUCGUCCU